rnacentral:rRNA from 1 species
AAAUUGAAGAGUUUGAUCAUGGCUCAGAUUGAACGCUGGCGGCAGGCCUAACACAUGCAAGUCGAACGGUAACAGGAAGCAGCUUGCUGCUUUGCUGACGAGUGGCGGACGGGUGAGUAAUGUCUGGGAAACUGCCUGAUGGAGGGGGAUAACUACUGGAAACGGUGGCUAAUACCGCAUAACGUCGCAAGACCAAAGAGGGGGACCUUCGGGCCUCUUGCCAUCAGAUGUGCCCAGAUGGGAUUAGCUUGUUGGUGAGGUAACGGCUCACCAAGGCGACGAUCCCUAGCUGGUCUGAGAGGAUGACCAGCCACACUGGAACUGAGACACGGUCCAGACUCCUACGGGAGGCAGCAGUGGGGAAUAUUGCACAAUGGGCGCAAGCCUGAUGCAGCCAUGCCGCGUGUAUGAAGAAGGCCUUCGGGUUGUAAAGUACUUUCAGCGGGGAGGAAGGUGUUGUGGUUAAUAACCGCAGCAAUUGACGUUACCCGCAGAAGAAGCACCGGCUAACUCCGUGCCAGCAGCCGCGGUAAUACGGAGGGUGCAAGCGUUAAUCGGAAUUACUGGGCGUAAAGCGCACGCAGGCGGUCUGUCAAGUCGGAUGUGAAAUCCCCGGGCUCAACCUGGGAACUGCAUUCGAAACUGGCAGGCUUGAGUCUUGUAGAGGGGGGUAGAAUUCCAGGUGUAGCGGUGAAAUGCGUAGAGAUCUGGAGGAAUACCGGUGGCGAAGGCGGCCCCCUGGACAAAGACU